ACAAAAGAUCGCCAGCUUCCUGCGCCUUUAAACUCCACCGAUCACUACUCCCUUGCCCUUAGGAGUACCUGCUCUUGCUUAAUCAAGAAAAGCACACAUA